AGAAGUUUGAAUCUGGCUCAGAUUGAACGCUGGCGGCAUGCCUUUACACAUGCAAGUCGAACGGCAGCACGGAGCUUGCUCUGGUGGCGAGUGGCGAACGGGUGAGUAAUAUAUCGGAACGUACCUGGAGUGGGGGAUAACGUAGCGAAAGUUACGCUAAUACCGCAUACGAUCUAAGGAUGAAAGUGGGGGAUCGCAAGACCUCAUGCUCGUGGAGCGGCCGAUAUCUGAUUAGCUAGUUGGUAGGGUAAAAGCCUACCAAGGCAUCGAUCAGUAGCUGGUCUGAGAGGACGACCAGCCACACUGGAACUGAGACACGGUCCAGACUCUACGGGAGGCAGCAGUGGGGAAUUUUGGACAAUGGGCGAAAGCCUGAUCCAGCAAUGCCGCGUGAGUGAAGAAGGCCUUCGGGUUGUAAAGCUCUUUUGUCAGGGAAGAAACGGUGAGGGCUAAUAUCUUUUGCUAAUGACGGUACCUGAAGAAUAAGCACCGGCUAACUACGUGCCAGCAGCCGCGGUAAUACGUAGGGUGCAAGCGUUAAUCGGAAUUACUGGGCGUAAAGCGUGCGCAGGCGGUUUUGUAAGUCUGAUGUGAAAUCCCCGGGCUCAACCUGGGAAUUGCAUUGGAGACUGCAAGGCUAGAAUCUGGCAGAGGGGGGUAGAAUUCCACGUGUAGCAGUGAAAUGCGUAGAUAUGUGGAGGAACACCGAUGGCGAAGGCAGCCCCCUGGGUCAAGAUUGACGCUCAUGCACGAAAGCGUGGGGAGCAAACAGGAUUAGAUACCCUGGUAGUCCACGCCCUAAACGAUGUCUACUAGUUGUCGGGUCUUAAUUGACUUGGUAACGCAGCUAACGCGUGAAGUAGACCGCCUGGGGAGUACGGUCGCAAGAUUAAAACUCAAAGGAAUUGACGGGGACCCGCACAAGCGGUGGAUGAUGUGGAUUAAUUCGAUGCAACGCGAAAAACCUUACCUACCCUUGACAUGGAUGGAAUCCCGGAGAGAUUGGAUCUCGAAUGGAUC
rnacentral:rRNA from 1 species